rnacentral:rRNA from 1 species
UGGGGAAUAUUGGACAAUGGGUGAAAGCCUGAUCCAGCCAUGCCGCGUGUGUGAAGAAGGUCUUCGGAUUGUAAAGCACUUUAAGUUGGGAGGAAGGGCAGUUACCUAAUACGUGAUUGUUUUGACGUUACCGACAGAAUAAGCACCGGCUAACUCUGUGCCAGCAGCCGCGGUAAUACAGAGGGUGCAAGCGUUAAUCGGAAUUACUGGGCGUAAAGCGCGCGUAGGUGGUUAGUUAAGUUGGAUGUGAAAUCCCCGGGCUCAACCUGGGAACUGCAUUCAAAACUGACUGACUAGAGUAUGGUAGAGGGUGGUGGAAUUUCCUGUGUAGCGGUGAAAUGCGUAGAUAUAGGAAGGAACACCAGUGGCGAAGGCGACCACCUGGACUGAUACUGACACUGAGGUGCGAAAGCGUGGGGAGCAAACAGGAUUAGAUACCCAAGUAGUCCCUGAGCGGGCUGGCAAGGCGCAU